rnacentral:lncRNA from 1 species
UUUCUCUCUCUCGGUCUCUGUCUCUCGCUUUAUCUCUGUGUGUCUCCCCCCCCUCCCUCUCCCUCUCCCCCCCCCCUUGCACACACAGACACACACGUACACACACUUGUGAAAUCCGACCCCUGUUUAUCAGGGUCCCGCGCGCCCUUUGCACUUUUACGUUUCACUUAAUUCUUUCAGACUUGAUCGUGGCGGGGACCCGGGGGUGAAACAGCACCCCAGCCCUCGCCAGCUCCCCGCGAAGGGUUAAAUUUUAAACCGCGGGUGCUCAGACCUGCCCGGAAACCUAGGGUGGGGGCGGGGUGGGCGAUUCCUUCCCCCCCCUCCCCCGUGAAGAUGCCGAUAGCUAGUUCAAUUUUCAAGAUCAAUUCUUUUAGAGCUAAUGCCAGGGGAAAAAAAAGAGAGAAGGGAAAAGUAAGAAAAGUGGGGAGAAAGAAACCAACAACUCUGUUUCUAAGAUUUUAAAGAGAUAGGCGAGUCUCAGAACCGAGAUUUAUUUGGGGAAAGCGAGAGUGCGCUGGGCGCACUCGGUCUCUGGAAGCGCAGCCCGCCUGGUUGGAAGUGGGGACUGUCGAUCUCGCCGUUAAUGAAAUGCGUUCUGUUUUAAUCAUAUUUCUUUUACUUUAUGGGAUGGGGACACGCUAGGAGGGUGGACACACACACAAAUAUUCGGCAAAGCCUGCAGAAGGAUGGAGGAGCGAAAACUAUUGUUGGCCGGAGUUGGUUUUUACCUCGACAGCGCCACCUUUCGGCAAAGCUUUGGCAUCUCUUCAGAUCUCCAGUGGCAUCUACUAUGCGCUGCAAUUAUCCAGCUUCACCUGAGGAAGAAUAGAAUUUCCAUGAACAAAUUCGAGCUUUCACAAGGCCUCAUCGUGAUGGGAGAAGUUGCCUGGCUAGAAGUUCAUCUGAAUGGGCUCAUUCUUAGUGGUCUCCAUGUUGAUCUAUGAGAGUCUCCUGAUUUGGAUGGAAUUCAUCUCUUCAGGUUUCAAGGGUGCCUCUAGACCCAGUUUAGGGGCCAAUGUGCCCUUUUGAGGCAACAGAGAGUGCCACAUGCCCUUUCAAAGCAUUGUACUCAUCGUUCUGCAAUAUGCUGAUCUCCUCCGGCUAUGAGAGAUCAAAUUUGACUGGCCAGUCACCUAAUUUCCUCAAAUACAGUGCUGUAUUUUAAUGGCAAG